CUUUUUUAAUAUAGAUAGACCAGUAAUAAAAGUACAUGUGUUAUUUUGUUUGAGCUCGUCUCUUAAUGAAGGAUUUUAAGAGUUUCUCUCUCCUAUCUCUUCUAACUUUAAUUAUUUUUUACUUUUUUUAUUCUUAGGGCCUCAAUUAAAAGCCCUUGGUUGGGGAUGGUCUUAUUACAUCUGACUUUUCAAAUUUGUUUUUCUUUAAUUUGGUGAGCUAAUAAAAAUAAUAGGACAAAAAUGAAUAAAAUAUAUAAAAUAUUUAAGAGGAGGCUUAAGCGAAAGACGAGGAAAGAAUGGUCCAUUUACCCAGUAUGACAUCAUACUAGAUAUAACCCAAACUUUAACAUCGGUUUAUAUGCCCAUUAAAUCAAAAUUCUAUUCCUAAUUCCCCUCCA
rnacentral:sRNA from 1 species